rnacentral:rRNA from 1 species
AGGGUUUGAUUCAUGGCUCAGUAUUGAACGUUGGCGGCACGCCUAAUACAUGCAAGUCGAACGAGAAAGCAUUUCGGUGCGAGUACAGUGGCGGACGGGUGAGUAACGCGUAGGAAUCUACCUAGUAGUGGGGGACAACUCGGGGAAACUCGAGCUAAUACCGCAUACGCUCUAUGGAGGAAAGUGGGGGACCUUUGGGCCUCACGCUAUUAGAGGAGCCUGCGUUAGAUUAGCUAGUUGGUGAGGUAAGGGCUCACCAAGGCUACGAUCUAUAGCUGGUCUGAGAGGACGAUCAGCCACACUGGAACUGAGACACGGUCCAGACUCCUACGGGAGGCAGCAGUAGGGAAUCUUGGGCAAUGGGCGAAAGCCUGACCCAGCGAUGCCGCGUGUGCGAAGAAGGCCUUAGGGUUGUAAAGCACUUUCAGUUGCGAAGAAAAGCUGCGAUCUAAUAAAUCGCGGUCUUGACGUUAACAACAGAAGAAGUACCGGCUAACUCCGUGCCAGCAGCCGCGGUAAUACGGAGGGUACGAACGUUAAUCGGAAUUACUGGGCGUAAAGCGCGCGUAGGCGGUUUGAUAAGUGGGAUGUGAAAGCCCCGGGCUUAACCUGGGAACUGCAUUCCAAACUGUCAGACUAGAGUGUGGUAGAGGGAGGUAGAAUUUCCUGUGUAGCGGUGAAAUGCGUAGAUAUAGGAAGGAAUACCGAUGGCGAAGGCAGCCUCCUGGACCAACACUGACGCUGAGGCGCGAAAGCGUGGGGAGCAAACAGGAUUAGAUACCCUGGUAGUCCACGCCGUAAACGAUGAGAACUAGCCGUUGGGGCCUU